GAAAUCAAUCCAAAUCUAUCUUUGUCCUCAGAAUCUGGGAAGCCUGGGUUUUAUCACUGGCUGGUCACAGAUGCACUGAAAAUGGGUAACUGUGCAUACACCAGGCUUGUUUUCUCUGAAGACUGAAAGAAAUCUGGAGGCGUUAAUCCUCACAUCCCUCAUGGUGGAAGACGGAAGAAGGAAGCCAGAUCUGAGCUAGCCUGGAAGGAAGAGAUACCUUUUGCCCUAUUCUCCGCUACUGGAAUGCCCUCCACACUCUUUUCUCCUGCUCUCCAAAUCCUAGGUGUGAGAGUCUGCGUCCGGCCCCUCCCGCCGUGUUUGAGGAAGCAAAGCACAGUCCGUCUGGGGAGAUGAAGCCACCCAAGAGUGAAGCGUGAAGCUCGUGGGCAGAGACCGGCCACCCCCAUGAACCACCGUGG